rnacentral:lncRNA from 12 species
AGUCUGAAGUCCUCCCAUCCUGUUAUCACAAGAGAAAAUACAUGGGUAAUUGUGUCAAUGAAUACAGAUAAUAAUUUGAAUCUUCUAUGACAGAAACAGCAAAGAAUCCGAUUCUCUUUCAGAUCUUUGCUCUUUGAAAAUGUCUUUGCCAGUCUUCUCAGUACAACUGUCCUUACUGCUUCAUAGACAGUUAUAGAACUAACAAAAUUGGCAAGUCACAAUAAUAUUUUGAUAGAUGAUGCUAACAAAUUAGAUUUAGGAAGACUUCAUUCCAAUAUUUUUAUUUACUGAAAAGCUCUUCUAACUUGCAGUAUUUAAAGUGACUCAGUGGAAAAAUAGAGGAUUGAAAUUGACCUUUGCUUUCUUUUGAAAUAACUACCAAGAAAGGAGAAAUUAUUUUAUCUCAUUUUUAGUUCAACUUACCUAUGAAAUUAAGGCUUGAAAAUUGGGAAGAUGUCCUCCAAGCAGAAGAGGCAACAUGGAUAAUAAACACAAUUACAGAGCUGAAGGAGCUUGGAAUGUUUGGGAAAGUACUGAGCUAUAGAUCACAUAGGGCAGUACAUUCUGUACAAGGAAUAGACUUUUCACCUUUCACGGAAAUGGAGGCAUGAAGAAUUCUGAGCUGGUGAGGAAUAUGGUUAAUUUAAUUGUGUGAUUGAUCUCUCUGAUGGCAGUGUCCAUACGAAGACUGAACGGGAGUGAGUCUGAGGAUGAGGCAUAAAUCUGAUAGCCCAGUAGAAACCUGACUAACCCCAUACCAGUGCACCUGAAGCCUGAUGAAAGUAAGAGGAUGGAUAAAGAAAUAUUUAGGGAAUGAAGCUGAUCACGAGUUAAGGACAAAUGGGGCUAGGCAGGGAAAUAUAAGGGAAAGACCCAGAGUCAAGCUCCCAUAAAUCCCAAGGACACCUAGAUGCAACAGAACCAGAAAUAAGGAAAUACAUCUGGCCACCUGGCCUCAAAUGGUAGGGAGUAUCUUCCUUUGACAGCUACAAAGUCAUCACAGAGACUCACCAGACCAGAAGGCAGCCAUAUGUCAUUCACUCAAGACAGCCCAAGAAAUCUCAAGGCCAUAAACUCCCUAGUUAGGUUCUCAAUAAAAGGUCAGCCAGAAAAGCCCUCA